GACAGAGGGUGCAAGCGUUAAUCGGAAUUACUGGGCGUAAAGCGCUCGUAGGUGGUUUAUCAAGCUAGAUGUAAAAGCCCCGGGCUUAACCUGGGAAGGACAUUUAGGACUGUUAGACUAGAGUGGGGUAGAGGUAAGUGGAAUUUCCGGUGUAGCGGUGAAAUGCGUAGAUAUCGGAAGGAACACCAGUGGCGAAGGCGGCUUACUGGACCCUAACUGACACUGAGGAGCGAAAGCGUGGGUAGCAAAC
rnacentral:rRNA from 1 species